CCUUUGUAAAUCUCUUAAAGUCCU
rnacentral:siRNA from 1 species